rnacentral:rRNA from 1 species
GAGGCGAACCGGGGGAACUGAAACAUCUAAGUACCCCGAGGAAAAGAAAUCAACCGAGAUUCCGAAAGUAGCGGCGAGCGAAAUUGGACUAGCCCUUAAGCUUUACACGCGUUAGACGAACGGUCUGGAAAGUCCGACGAUACAGGGUGAUAGUCCCGUAGUUGACGACGUGUGUUCAGUGAAAUCGAGUAGGGCGGGACACGUGAUAUCCUGUCUGAAUAUGGGGGGACCAUCCUCCAAGGCUAAAUACUACUGACUGACCGAUAGUGAACCAGUACCGUGAGGGAAAGGCGAAAA